rnacentral:rRNA from 1 species
UACGAGUGCCCCGAGCGUUAUCCGGAAUCAUUGGGCGUAAAGGGUGUGUAGGUGGUUGUGUUAGUCUUUUGUCAAAACCCGGAGCUUAACUCCGGAUCCGCGAAAGAAACGGCACGACUAGAGGAUGCGAGGGAUGUGUGGAACUCAUGGAGUAGGGGUGAAAUCCGUUGAUAUCAUGGGGAACACCGAAAGCGAAGGCAGCACAUUGGCGCAUUCCUGACACUGAAACACGAAAGCGUGGGUAGCGAAUGGG